rnacentral:rRNA from 1 species
CGCUUGAGAGAACUCGGGUGAAGGAACUAGGCAAAAUGGUGCCGUAACUUCGGGAGAAGGCACGCUGGCAUUAGGUGAAGUGAUUUACUCAUGGAGCUGAAGCCAGUCGCAGAUACCAGCUGGCUGCAACUGUUUAUUAAAAACACAGCACUGUGCAAACACGAAAGUGGACGUAUACGGUGUGACGCCUGCCCGGUGCUGGAAGGUUAAUUGAUGGGGUUAUCCGUAAGGAGAAGCUCUUGAUCGAAGCCCCAGUAAACGGCGGCCGUAACUAUAACGGUCCUAAGGUAGCGAAAUUCCUUGUCGGGUAAGUUCCGACCUGCACGAAUGGCGUAAUGAUGGCCAGGCUGUCUCCACCCGAGACUCAGUGAAAUUGAACUCGCUGUGAAGAUGCAGUGUACCCGCGGCAAGACGGAAAGACCCCGUGAACCUUUACUAUAGCUUGACACUGAACAUUGAGCCUUGAUGUGUAGGAUAGGUGGGAGGCUUUGAAGCGUGGACGCCAGUCUGCGUGGAGCCAACCUUGAAAUACCACCCUUUAAUGUUUGAUGUUCUAACGUUGCCCCAUUAUCUGGGGUGCGGACAGUGUCUGGUGGGUAGUUUGACUGGGGCGGUCUCCUCCCAAAGAGUAACGGAGGAGCACGAAGGUUGGCUAAGCAUGGUCGGACAUCAUGCGGUUAGUGCAAAGGCAUAAGCCAGCUUGACUGCGAGAGUGACGGCUCGAGCAGGUACGAAAGUAGGUCUUAGUGAUCCGGUGGUUCUGAAUGGAAGGGCCAUCGCUCAACGGAUAAAAGGUACUCCGGGGAUAACAGGCUGAUACCGCCCAAGAGUUCAUAUCGACGGCGGUGUUUGGCACCUCGAUGUCGGCUCAUCACAUCCUGGGGCUGAAGUAGGUCCCAAGGGUACGGCUGUUCGCCGUUUAAAGUGGUACGCGAGCUGGGUUUAGAACGUCGUGAGACAGUUCGGUCCCUAUCUGCCGUGGGCGUUGGAAGAUUGAAAGGGGCUGCUCCUAGUACGAGAGGACCGGAGUGGACGCACCACUGGUGUUCGGGUUGUCAUGCCAAUGGCAUUGCCCGGUAGCUAAGUGCGGAAGAGAUAACCGCUGAAAGCAUCUAAGCGGGAAACUUGCCUUGAGAUGAGUCUUCCCUGACUCUUUAAGAGUCCUAAAGGAACGUUUAAGACUAAGACGUUGAUAGGUUGGGUGUGUAAGCGUAGCGAUACGUUGAGCUAACCAAUACUAAUGAACCGUGAGGCUUAACCUG